ACCUCUGACUUUUUUAUGUGGUCGAGGAGAACUUAAUUCAUCCAAAAUCAUAACUGAUUCAUCGUCACUAUUUUCAUCCAAAAUCUUAACUGGUUCAUCAUCAUCACUAUCACCAACAUUGUCAUUUUUAUCAUCAUCAUCAUCAUGAGUGUCAGAUGAAGGAUCAUAGUCUAUUUCUACUGCACUUUGGCCAAGUAUGAGUACAUCGAACUUGGAAGUUCCUUCUUUAUAUUUAAACACAACCAAACUGCCAUGUCCUAGAGAGUAAUUUUGAGUAAAAGAUUUCCAACCCUUUUCAAACCAAAUCUCACCAUUGAUAUUUUUCCAAUAAACUUUCCAUUUAGUGCCAUCAGGAGGAUUGAUCAACACUGGAUUUGAUAAACCAACUCCAUGACUCUUUGUAAACUUAUUUGGUAUUUUCUGUGAAAUUAAAACAACCCCUUUUGGUCACUACGUACUACUCAUCUAAUCUAAGUAGAGAGAAAAAAUUUAUAUUAUUAAUUAUAAUCCUAACUAAGUAACUAAUCAUAAUCAACUUCUAACUAUAUAUAUAAUCAAAUUUCUAGUGCUUAUGUAUGUGACUGUAAGCGUAAUUAAUUGCAAUUUAAUAGAUAAACAAACAAAAAAAAAGUGAUAAUAAAGUAGUAAAUAAUAGAAAUGCUUACAAGUCUUUGAAGAUUAGUUUGGAGGAUGAUCUUGAAGAAAUGGAUUGAGUGCUUGGUAGAAUUUGUUCUAGCCAUGGAGAGUGAGUGAAUAAAGUAUAUUGUGUAUAGUUUGAUGUACUGUAUAUAUAAGAUGAGAAACCAAAGGUCUUCAUUUAUUAAUUGUUGUGCUAGUAAUUAAGCUAACUGCCUCUUGUCAUUAUCAUUAUUACAAAUAAGAGUAAUGUUACGUGGUGAGUAACGCUAUCUCCCAAGAAAAAUUAAGCUAACUAUUUCUUUAUAUUUUAAUCUUCACAUUUAUCUUGGGAGAUAAAAGGUCAAGAAUUAAAUAUAUUGUUGAAAAUUGAAGAAUAUUUUUACACAUAUAUAUGGAGAGUAAUGCUAUCUCCCAAGAAAAAAUAGUUGUUUCUUAUAAUCUAAUUAAAAUAUAUUAAAGAAGUGUUAAUUAUUUCUUGGGUAAAUAGUGUUAUACCCCAGCAAAAUAGGCGAGUUUUGCGUUACCCCUACACAAUAUUUUUUUGAGAUUCCCUCCUGCAAUGUCAAGAUUUCUCCCCUGCAAAAUAUUUUUUUGAGAUUCCCCCUGCAAUGUCAAGAUUACUUGUGUUACACCCCCGGCUCAACAAGUGGGCAUAUGACAUGGACGAAUCUUGACGUGGCAUGACACGUGGAAAUUAAUUAAUUAAUUUAUUUUUAAAUGCCAACUCAGUAAUUAUUUAUUUUUUUAAUUAAAAAAAUGAAGAAAAAAAAAACCCACAUUAAUAUAUUGUGUAUAGUUUGAUGUACUGUAUAUAUAAGAUGAGAAACCAAAGGUCUUCAUUUAUUAAUUGUUGUGCUAGUAAUUAAGCUAACUGCCUCUUG
rnacentral:lncRNA from 1 species